rnacentral:rRNA from 1 species
UACGGAAGGGGCAAGCGUUGUUCGGAAUCAUUGGGCGUAAAGGGUGCGUAGGCGGCGCGGUAAGUCGGGUGUGAAAUCUCGGAGCUUAACUCCGAAACUGCAUUCGAUACUGCCGUGCUUGAGGACUGGAGAGGAGACUGGAAUUUACGGUGUAGCGGUGAAAUGCGUAGAUAUCGUAAGGAAGACCAGUGGCGAAGGCGGGUCUCUGGACAGUUCCUGACGCUGAGCACGAAGGCCAGGGGAGCAAACGGG